GCGGCCGAGCUGUGCGUAUUGCACCUCCAGCCACGGCGUCUCUGCGGUAGCAACUUGUUUAAGCUUCAUCAUAUAUCCCCAAACGAAGGCCAGGGACGGCUCUGGAUUGACAGAAAGAACUUUGUGCCAUCUGCUUGGACUCGCGCCUGCUCCGACCAUGUUGUUCCCGGUGGGCGUUCGGUAUGCCAAGCCUGGGAUACCCGCGAAAGUGACUAUGCCAAACUGCUUGUAUGCGUCACCUGGCGGUGCGCCAUCUACCGUCGACCGCAGUGCCAGGCCGGAAACGGUCCUUCUUGUUAUUUACUGGCCUUUCAAUUUUUUAUAGAUACUGACACUUAGCUAAUGGCUAAGCCACUUUGUGAUAAAGAUUGCGACUG